GAUGAACGCUGGCGGCGUGCUUAAUACAUGCAAGUCGAGCGAAGCGCUUUAACGGAAUUCUUCGGAAGGAAGAUAAAGUGACUGAGCGGCGGACGGGUGAGUAACGCGUGGGUAACCUGCCUCAUACAGGGGGAUAACAGUUAGAAAUGGCUGCUAAUACCGCAUAAGCGCACAGGACCGCAUGGUCUGGUGUGAAAAACUCCGGUGGUAUGGGAUGGACCCGCGUUGGAUUAGGUAGUUGGUGGGGUAACGGCCUACCAAGCCGACGAUCCAUAGCCGGCCUGAGAGGGUGGACGGCCACAUUGGGACUGAGACACGGCCCAGACUCCUACGGGAGGCAGCAGUAGGGAAUAUUGCACAAUGGGGGAAACCCUGAUGCAGCGACGCCGCGUGAAGGAAGAAGUAUCUCGGUAUGUAAACUUCUAUCAGCAGGGAAGACAAUGACGGU
rnacentral:rRNA from 1 species